CAGCCGCGGUAAGACGAGGGAUCCUAGCGUUGUUCGGAAUCAUUGGGCGUAAAGCGGAUGUAGGUGGCUUUGUAAGUCAGGUGUGAAAGCCCAGAGCUCAACUCUGGAAGUGCAUUUGAUACUGCGAAGCUUGAGUGUGGAAGAGGUAAGUAGAAUACCUGGUGUAGUGGUGAAAUACGUAGAUAUCAGGUGGAAUACCGGAGGCGAAGGCGGCUUACUGGUCCAACACUGACACUGAGAUCCGAAAGCGUGGGGAUCAAACAGGAUUAGAUACCCUGGUAGUCCACGCCAUAAACGAUGGAUACUUGUCGUUGGAGGUAUUGACCCCUUCAGUGACGAAGCUAACGCGUUAAGUAUCCCGCCUGGGGAGUACGGUCGCAAGAUUAAAACUCAAAGAAAUUGACGGGGGCCCGCACAAGCGGUGGAUCAUGUGGUUUAAUUCGAUGCAACGCGAAGAACCUUACCUACUUUUGACAUGUACUGGAAGACUCGUAGAAAUACGGUCGCUCGCAAGAGCCGGUACACAGGUGCUGCAUGGCUGUCGUCAGCUCGUGUCGUGAGAUGUUGGGUUAAGUCCCGCAACGAGCGCAACCCUUGCCUUUAGUUGCCAGCAUUCAGUUGGGCACUCUAAAGGGACUGCCGACGUUAAGUCGGAGGAAGGUGGGGAUGACGUCAAGUCCUCAUGGCCCUUAUAAGUAGGGCUACACACGUGAUACAAUGGUAACUACAAAGAGCAGCAAAACCGCAAGGUGAAGCCAAUCUCAUAAAAGUUAUCUAAGUUAGGAUUGGAGUCUGCAACUCGACUCCAUGAAUGCGGAAUCGCUAGUAAUCGCGGAUCAGAACGCCGCGGUGAAUACGUUCCCGGGCCUUGU
rnacentral:rRNA from 1 species